GUCCACGCCGUAAACGAUGUCGACUUGGAGGUUGUUCCCUUGAGGAGUGGCUUCCGGAGCUAACGCGUUAAGUCGACCGCCUGGGGAGUACGACCGCAAGGUUAAAACUCAAAUGAAUUGACGGGGGCCCGCACAAGCGGUGGAGCAUGUGGUUUAAUUCGAUGCAACGCGAAGAACCUUACCUACUCUUGACAUCCAGAGAACUUAGCAGAGAUGCUUUGGUGCCUUCGGGAACUCUGAGACAGGUGCUGCAUGGCU
rnacentral:rRNA from 1 species